UACAGAGGUGGCAAGCGUUGUUCGGAAUUACUGGGCGUAAAGGGCGCGUAGGCGGCCUACUAAGUCAGACGUGAAAUCCCCCGGCUUAACCUGGAAACUGCGUCUGAUACUGGAAGGCUUGAGGAUGGGAGAGGGAUGUAGAAUUCCAGGUGUAGCGGUGAAAUGCGUAGAUAUCUGGAGGAACACCGGUGGCGAAGGCGGCCACCUGGACGGUAACUGACGCUGAGACGCGAAAGCGUGGGGAGCAAACAGG
rnacentral:rRNA from 1 species